rnacentral:rRNA from 1 species
UACGUAGGGGGCAAGCGUUGUCCGGAUUUAUUGUGCGUAAAGAGCGUGUAGGCGGCCAGGUAGGUCUGCUGUGAAAACUCGAGGCUCAACCUCGAGACGUCGGCGGAAACCAUCUGGCUAGAGUCCGGAAGAGGAGAGUGGAAUUCCUGGUGUAGCGGUGAAAUGCGCAGAUAUCAGGAAGAACACCCGUGGCGAAGGCGGCUCUCUGGGACGGUACUGACGCUGAGACGCGAAAGCGUGGGGAGCGAACAGG